AUGAACGCUGGCAGCGUGCCUAAUACAUGCAAGUCGAGCGAACGGACGAGAAGCUUGCUUCUCUGAUGUUAGCGGCGGACGGGUGAGUAACACGUGGAUAACCUACCUAUAAGACUGGGAUAACUUCGGGAAACCGGAGCUAAUACCGGAUGAUAUUUUGAACCGCAUGGUUCAAAAGUGAAAGACGGUCUUGCUGUCACUUAUAGAUGGAUCCGCGCUGCAUUAGCUAGUUGGUAAGGUAACGGCUUACCAAGGCAACGAUGCAUAGCCGACCUGAGAGGGUGAUCGGCCACACUGGAACUGAGACACGGUCCAGACUCCUACGGGAGGCAGCAGUAGGGAAUCUUCCGCAAUGGGCGAAAGACUGACGGAGCAACGCCGCGUGAGUGAUGAAGGUCUUCGGAUCGUAAAACUCUGUUAUUAGGGAAGAACAUAUGUGUAAGUAACUGUGCACAUCUUGACGGUACCUAAUCAGAAAGCCACGGCUAACUACGUG
rnacentral:rRNA from 1 species